UUGGGUCAGUCCUAGCACAUGUCUCCACAUGUGUCCACAUUAUUAGUUCAACAUCUCCAUGUCUAUGACUUGUGAAACAUAGUCAUCAACUAAUACAUAUGCUAGUCUAAUAUUCAUGUGUGUCCUCACAUGAACUCCGACUAGGGACAACUUUAGAAUAACCAUACAAGUAAAGAGUUUCACAUACAAUUCACAUAAUUGCAAAUCAAUUCAAGUAGCCUUUAAUGGAUAUUCAAUGAACACAAUAUACAAAUCAUGGAUACAAAUGGAAUAUCAUCAUCUCUAUGAUUGCCUCUAGGGCAUACCUCCAUCAGUCUCCCACUUGCACUAGAGUCAAUCUAGAAGGUACC
rnacentral:lncRNA from 1 species